GACGAACGCUGGCGGCGUGCUUAACACAUGCAAGUCGAACGGAAAGGCCCUGCUUUUGUGGGGUUCUCGAGUGGCGAACGGGUGAGUAACACGUGAGUAACCUGCCCUUGACUUUGGGAUAACUUCAGGAAACUGGGGCUAAUACCGGAUAGGAGCUCCUGCUGCAUGGUGGGGGUUGGAAAGUUUCGGCGGUUGGGGAUGGACUCGCGGCUUAUCAGCUUGUUGGUGGGGUAGUGGCUUACCAAGGCUUUGACGGGUAGCCGGCCUGAGAGGGUGACCGGCCACAUUGGUACUGAGGUACGGCGCAGAGCGCAACGGGAGGCAGCAGUGGGGAAUAUUGCACAAUGGGCGGAAGCCUGAUGCAGCAACGCCGCGUGCGGGAUGACGGCCUUCUGGGUGUAAACCGCUUUCGCCUGUGACGAAGCGUGAGUGACGGUAAUGGGUAAAGAAGCACCGGCUAACUACGUG
rnacentral:rRNA from 1 species